rnacentral:rRNA from 1 species
GCGGAGGAAAAGAAACCAACAGGGAUUGCCCCAGUAACGGCGAGUGAAGCGGCAACAGCUCAAAUUUGAAAUCUGGUCCCCCCGCGGGGCCCGAGUUGUAAUUUGAAGAGGAUGCUUCUGGCAAGGUGCCGUCCGAGUUCCCUGGAACGGGACGCCGCAGAGGGUGAGAGCCCCGUACGGUCGGACGCCGAGCCUCUGUGAAGCUCCUUCGACGAGUCGAGUAGUUUGGGAAUGCUGCUCAAAAUGGGAGGUAAACCCCUUCUAAAGCUAAAUACCGGCCAGAGACCGAUAGCGCACAAGUAGAGUGAUCGAAAGAUGAAAAGCACUUUGAAAAGAGAGUUAAAAAGCACGUGAAAUUGUUGAAAGGGAAGCGCUUGCGACCAGACUCGCGCCCGUCGGAUCAGCCGUCGCUCGUCGGCGGCGCACUCCGGCGGGCUCGGGCCAGCAUCAGUUCGCCUCGGGGGGAGAAAGGCGGCGGGAAUGUGGCUCUACGGAGUGUUAUAGCCCGCCGCGUAAUACCCCCGGGCGGACUGAGGACCGCGCGUAUGCAAU